GCCACUCCCACAAACGUCUACGACCGCACCUACAUAGUUUUGCAUGUUUACAAUUCUAAUUUUGAACAGCCAAUCAGGUUCUUGGUAACAAUUACAAUUAAACGUCGAUUGGCUGUUUAAAAUUAGAAUUGUAAACAUGCAAAAAUAUGUAGGUGCGGUCGUAGACGUUUGUGGGAGUGGU